UUGACCUCACUUGUGACAAGGCUGUCUCCUGUGUCCCAGGGCUGCAGGUCAGAGCUGGCUAGGGGGGACUGUGUCCACCCUGAAGCCCCAAGACCUAGCAGGAAGAAAGGCACAGGCAGGCAGGAACGCUGCCGGGAGCUGGUCCUCAGCAGAGGCUGCGACCGCCAGAGUCCUGCUCUGGCACACAUGGUCCCCACCCACCCUGUUGUGACCCUGGUGUGGGGGACCUCCAUGCUGCACAAGCUCUGGACAGAGAAGACACCUGUGGCCCCGGACAGGAAGCUGUCUUUGCAAAAUUCUACAGGUGUCAAAAUCAUCUGCUGUCCUGAGAGUUACUGUGAAAUCUUUCUGUUCACUGAAUCUUCUGAAUCCCUAGAGGAGAGCAUCAGCUCGAGAUGCUCCUCUGCCAUGCUGUCCUGCCUUGAAGCCAGCUGACUAUGGACUGAAACCUCUACAAACUGUGAGCUGAAAUAAACUUAUCCUCCUUCAAGUGUCAGGUAUUUUGUCUCAGCAAUGAGAAAGACCAACAGGCUCCUUCAAGCAGCCCCGAGGAAGUCAGGGCUUCAUGCUGCUGCAGAUCUCUGCCUCACAGGUGGGGAGUGAGGGACCCCAUGGGAGAGGGUGUGGGAAAUCUCCACACUCAGGGUUUGCCCCCUCACCCUCCUGGGCUGCCUGGACAGGACCUGCCUUCCCAUCAGUAUCCCUCGAGUGCAUCCAGUGCUGAGGAAAGUGCCUGCAGAGAGACUUCAAGGGAUUCAGACACUGUACUCAGGGGCAGUGUGGAUGGCUUCCCUGCAAAGCUGACCAUGUGAUGGGCACAAACAUGGGUGGCAUUCCCCAAGCAAGGGCGUCCCUGAUCCUCAGAGAGCUAGAUGGUCUACAGACAUGGCAGAGUUGUGGCCAAACCGAGCAGAGCAGUGCUGUGCAGAGCGGUGGGGGGGGGGGGGUGUGUGUGUGCAUCAAGGGCCAACAUGGCACCCGGAGUUGCCUAGGAGGGGAGGCUGUCGGGCAUAUCACAGCCAGGCGGAUUCCCCGAGGUGGCUCUGGGUGACUCCUGGGUGCUCUCCCUGCACAGCACAGCACAGCACAGCACAGCACAGCACAGCACAGCACGCUGGGUGCCCUCACCACUGCAGGAGGGUAGAGGGCAGAGGUGAGCCCAGGAAGGGAACCCUGAGGAGCCCAUGCUACGUUCACCAGGCAGGACUGUCCCCUGCAUGGUCAAUGGUCCUCUUGUGACACAGGCUUGGACACUCCUGGGGAUGGGAGAAGGGAGUGAAGGCCUCUGUGAGGGUCAUCUAUGGGCCCUGAUGCUGGCCACAAAGCCUGAAGGCCCGCCUGGAGGGUGGCAUGCAUGUGGGCUCCAAGGAGCCCUGGAGGUACUCAGAGAAGACCUGGCCUCUGACACACCUAGCGGCACUUCCCCCUAGGGAGAAGCCCUGCCAUCACCACCCAGCAGUGCAUGGGAUCCUUCAGGGCUGUGCCCCUGGAGUCGACAGUUCUAAAGGCCAGUGGGGGCGAAGGGGCCCUGCAGCUCCCACCUUGCCUGGUCCCUGCCUUGCCAAGCUCGGUGGCCUCUGAAUGCCCUGGGCCAGGAGUGGGCGUGAGAGCCCCCGGGCCCCAGCACUCCUGUGCAAGGGCAAUCAGGUGGCUCUGUGGUUGUGACCUGGGAAAUAAGCAGAGGCUGGGCAGGUUGCAGAGCUGGGCGGAAGAGGUGGGACCCUGGCUGGACCUGGUCUGUCUGUGUCCCCUGACCCACGCUGGCACCCGAGACAUGGUGCUGCUCUGUGCAGCCCACAUGCCGCUGCCCUGAAGCAGGUCCAGCUCAACCAUCAGCCAAGAGUGAUACAAAUGCUCCCCAAAACCAGUGCCUGUGGUGUUUCUUUCUUGCAGCACUGGGUUGAACCCGGGCCUUUGGGCAGAGCUGCAUUCCCAGACCCUGACCUUUUUAUUCUGAGACAGGAUUUCAUUAAGUCACUCAAUUGCCCAAGGCUGGGUUUGAAAUCGCAAUCCUGUCUCAGCCUCCCAUUGUGCAGAAAUUACAGAUGUGCACCUCCUUGCCUGGCUUUCAUCUGUAGUUUUGAGUUACAAAGGAUCUUGGUCUUGGCAGGACGAGCCCACACAGUAGGCCAGUCUGGAGCUGUGUCUAAUCUGCCUGCUGGGAAGAAGGAUGGCAUCUGGCCUCAGGGCUGAGCUCCCUCACUUUCUCUGUCUCCUAUAAGCCCAUUCUCCUGUCCCCCAUGCCAGCUGUGUCCAGAUAUCCCUCAAAGCUUCAUGCAGUCAUGAGUGGGGCUCCUUGAGAGGCAGCUAGAUCUUGAGUGGUACUGGGAUUCAGGGUGUGUGAUGACUGCAUGAGUCCCCUGGUCGGUUUGGCACUGCCCUAAUCCCAGCAGCCUGGACAGUGUAAAAAGUGCAAGAGACACUGACACCCUUGCUGUUUUUGCUGUCUUAUGCUGCCAUGAGCAGUUCUCUGCCCAUGCCACCCUGCCUUGGAGCCAGCCCUUUCCAUCAUGAACCUGGGUGUCAAGUGUUUUGUCUCAGCAAUGAGCAAGGUAACAGACAGACUGGUUUUUUGGGGGGGGGGGAACGUUUCUUUAGGGUGAAGAUGGGGACAGUCAAGUGUUAAGACUCUUCCAAGGCGCCACAGCCUUGCUCCCUGGUGUGCGCUGUGGCUCCUGGUUCCAGGGGACCGAUGCUGGCCCUGCUUGCCUCCUGCCGUGCGGCCCAUUCUCAACAGGCUGAAGACCUGCGGCCCAGGGCUGGGGUUCCGGACCCUGGCCCGAGAUACACAAAGCAGUGGUCAUUGGAUGGGGGGGAUGGCCUGAUGGGGCACAUGGUCAAGGUGGAACAGCUCCAGGAAGACACAGGACUUGAGUAUUGACUCCACGCUGGAGGACAGCAGGUGCUACCUGUAGGCUCUGGCCAGAGAGCCUCACUGUCCAAGGCCACACUGGAGCCAGAGGCCGAGCUGGCUGCUCCAGGAUCUGCUCCACUGGGUAGGAAGAUGCCGCAGGAGCAGGCAUUGGGACAUCUCAUCCACAUGACCAUGGCAGGGGCCAAGAAGGCGGUGACUCAGGACUGGACAGCGUCUCCACCAAUCUUGGGGCUCCUGGUGCAGGUUCGGAGUCUGCCAGGACUGGGGUGCUGGGGCUGCUCCCAUAGCCAGUGAGCUCAGGGCUCAACCCCCCAAAAUCCUCUCCUACCCCACCCCAGACUCACAGGCAGCAGAUACAAGCGAAACUUAGGUGACCUCCACAUUUACAAAGGAGCGCAGCUGGGUUUUGUCUUUAUUGUAAGCAGACAAUAAAGACAGAUGGCGUUCUACUCCAUUUACAGAAAAGUUCGGUAUUGCCAAGGUUACCCACCUGUCCCCCAUCUACAUAAAUAAAAGUAAAAACAGCAUACAAAAUAAACUUUACAGAAAUGUUUCAUUUGGUUUAAUUCACAAUUUAAUGUCUUAAAGCAGGUUAAUGAAUCAUCACUGUUGGAGAAUGAUUUAUGUUAAAUGCACCUACUCUACUUAAUAAUUUAAAAAUAAACUCCAGUGUUUAUGGUGGUGACCAAUCUGUGAAAUACAUUUUCAAAGUCUCUCUUGAGUACAUUACAUAAUGAAUGGACAUUUUAGAUGGUAAUGCAGACACACAUCAUAAUUUUAAGUCAGAGAUGAUAUAUGCAUAUUAAAAUUCUGUAUAUCCUGAUAAGAUAAAAAAUAAAGCUAUAUAAAUUGAUCUUUAGAUUUUUUUCUGCAAAAGUAGAGUAAGACUUUCAUAACGCUUCCAACACAUCUUUAGUAAAGCUUUGUUUAUAGACACUCUAUCAAUGGUUUUCAUUCCUGUUCACCUACCCCCUAGCUAAAAAAAUAAAUAAAAAGAUUGCAUUCGCCAACUGGUAUUGUUUCUGGUUUUUAAAAUUAUAGUAACUUCCAAAGGAAGUAUAGAAUGCGAGGACCAACUGUUACACUGUGCUAUCAAUAAAUAAUAUUAUG